AUCCAAGCCUAUUGAUAUCAAUGAACAAUUCUAUUGGAAGUAAAUGGCCUUAUGGUCAUGCUAGCAGUCCAUCAAGUGCUGACUCCAGACCCAAAGAGUUGUAAGUUCAAGCGUGGGUGUGCGCCCAGAUUCCCUCAUUUCUCUGGAAGAAGUCAGAAAUAAGAAAAAAGCAAAGACUGACUAAUCCAGGUGAAACUGCGGGAAAGAAACAGAUGAAACUGGAGAAAUUGGGAAGGAAAUGAAAAAAGAGCAGAUGCACGAGAAGGAGACAAAGAGAAAGGGACAAAGCAUUAUUCAGACAGAAAAAGACAUGCAUAUCUAACAAUUAUCAUUGCCAAACUUCAGUAAAAACUUCUGGAACUAAUUCCAACUUCUAGAACCAGAUGCUAUUUUACAAACCAGCACCCCAAUCCUGUUCCUAUCUCUGAGAUCUUCUAUUCCCUCUAAUCCUCCUGAUCAACGGGACAAUGCCAUUUCCUGCUGCUAUAACCUCUGUGCACUGGAUGGACUGCGUAACACAAAAGAGCUCAUGUUAGCACUGGGCUGUGGCCUGAUUUGGCAUACUUCCUUUGACCUAAGGAAGGCCCUGGUGAGGACCUCUUGAGAUUCUUGAAGGGAGAGGAGUACAAAUGAAUGUAAAAGCAUGUAUGGGAAACCCAUAGAGAAUAUAUCAGUGAUAAAACCCAUAGAGUCGAAAAUUAUUUUAGCAGGCUUCUGUAGAAAAUGUUCUAAAAAAGCCUGCAGCUUUGAAC